rnacentral:rRNA from 1 species
GUAGGUGGCAAGCGUUGUCCGGGAAUUAUUGGGGCGUAAAGCGCGCGCAGGCGGUUCUUUAAGUCUGAUGUGAAAGCCCACGGGCUCAACCGUGGGAGGGUCAUUGGAAACUGGAGAACUUGAGUACAGAAGAGGAAAGCGGAAUUCCACGUGUAGCGGUGAAAUGCGUAGAGAUGUGGAGGCACACCAGUGGCGAAGGCGGCUUUCUGGUCUGUAACUGACGCUGAGGCGCGAAAGCGUGGGGAGCAGACAGGAUUAGAUACCCUGGUAGUCCACGCCGUAAACGAUGAGUGCUAAGUGUUAGGGGGUUUCCGCCCCUUAGUGCUGCAGCUAACGCAUUAAGCACUCCGCCUGGGGAGUACGGCCGCAAAGGCUG